UAAUUUGAGAGUUUGAUCCUGGCUCAGGACGAACGCUGGCGGCGUGCCUAAUACAUGCA
rnacentral:rRNA from 1 species